CGCCAAUCAGCUUCCUUGCGC
rnacentral:siRNA from 1 species